GGGUCAAUAAUUACAGCCCAAUAUCAUGGAGAGAUGUGAUGACAUCAAAAUAAUCAUCUAGGUGUAUGCUGAAGCCC